GAUGAACGCUAGCUACAGGCUUAACACAUGCAAGUCGAGGGACCGGCGCACGGGUGAGUAACACGUAUCCCACCUGCCCUUUACUCGGUGAUAGCCUUUCGAAAGAAAGAUUAAUACCCGAUAUAAAGGAUGGGGAUGCGUUCCAUUAGGUUGUUGGUGAGGUAACGGCUCACCAAGCCUUCGAUGGAUAGGGGUUCGGAGAGGAAGGUACACCACAUUGGAACUGAGACACGGACCAAACUCCGACGGGAGGGAGCAGUGAGGAAUAUUGGUCAAUGGGCGCUAGCCUGAACCAGCCAAGUAGCGUGAAGAAGGAAGGGUUAUGGGUCGUAAACUACUGUUAUAUAAGAAUAUGUAUUAUAUGAAUAAGGAUCGGCUAACUCCGUGCCAGCAGCCGCGGUAAUAC
rnacentral:rRNA from 1 species